rnacentral:lncRNA from 1 species
UUAGCAAUAUACAUCCGAGAUUUAAAACUACUCAUUAGUUAUGCUGAAUUCCAUAUACAACUAUCCUAAUAAGUACUGAAAUUCUAAACAGUUUAAAUUAGAAAUAUACAACAGUCAUCAAACGUGUAAUCUCUUGCUCAAAUUAUAACUCUAAAAAAGAGCCCAAUUGCUUAAGACCAAAUCCUAAAAGGACCUAAACCAAUGGAAUCAUGCCAUGAUCCAACCCCAGAACUGAAAAUCAACACUGACCUCAAUAAAUUUAAACAAAACCAACAAAAUGUUCGACACCUGACUUGGACCCGUACUACAGAACACUCAAGUAUUCUAAAUAUUCAAUCACGAGGACCCUUAGCCAAAUCACAAACCAACAUAAUAGGCUAAGAUCCUAAAACAUAACUUAAAGAUGAAAUACAAAAUCAGCAACAUGUACGAGUAGAAACACAUAAAAAGAAAGCUAAAAUUAAUACAGAGACUAUAUGAACUUUAAAGAACAUGUGAAUAAAGUUCAGUAAAACAUCAUUUAUCACUAUAUCUCCAUAUUUGAUUACAUAUUUCAAACUUGCGCUUCACAUAUCAUUCAAUGGUCCAAGAAGUACCUGGAUAUCAAAAUAGAGCAAAAGGGAGUGAGGAUUUCAACAAUAACAAAGAAAUAGGAGCCAAACAACAAAUCAACAGCAGGACUCAGCUUCUUUGAACCAUCUUUAGACCCAGAAAACCAGAAAUUUCAUGAAAAGCCUUUUAAGUACUCGAAGAAAAAUAAGAAAGCAACUCAAGGCAAACUUAAUGAAAGGAAUGCAGAGAACUUUUGGGUGUUUUUCAGGGUAUCAAUCUCUGAUUUUUUGAGAGAAAGAAGAUCUAUAUAUAUCCUUUUAGGGGUGCCAUGUGCUGCUAAAAAUAGAAUGAAAAUUAUUCCCUCACAAGGCAUCUUUUCUAACAGAAUUGGGAUACAUGACAACUUUUGAUUGGCUCCAGUAUUUGUGCUGGCCAAAAUUGGGCCAGCUGCCCCGGAUUCUAGAAGUUUCCCCUCUAAAAAAAUCUGAUUUCCUAUUCCCAAAUUAACCUCCUAAGUUUCAUCUAUUCAAUUAACAUCCUAAGAGUUUUAAACAGUUUACAAACCUAGGUAAACAGAAAAUAAACAAACUAAUAUCUAACAAACGGAUUAAAAGCAAAAAAAAAACAAUUCAAAGUUGAAAGUUGAGCUUCUGAAAACUGGCAAAUAAACCUAAACCUCUAAAAUGAAACUAAUUCAUAAUAAACUCUAAAUUAAUCAUGAACUAAGCCAAAUAAUAAAUUCUAAAUGAAACUUGCACAAACACUGAAAUAAUUCUGGAAAUCAGAAUGAAUAAAUUGAUGCACUCUAAAACAAAAUUAUUAACUAAACAUGUUCAAAUAACCAACAUAAAUGCAAUUGAAUCUUUAACUACAUCUAAAUUCUUCUAACAUAAACUGAAGUCAGAAAUUACUAUUGUAACUUUAAAGAUAAAAACAAUGACUAAUUUAAACGGGAUACUAAAACAAGGCAAAGCAGAAUUAUUUCAUGAAUUAAGCUAAAAUUGACAUUAGACUUGUGAUGAAAUCCUAACAUGAUAUUGACUAAUCUGAAACCCAAAAUACAAAAGCAAAACUAACAACAAAAAAAACCUAAAAUGCGGUUAAACAGAAUUAAAAUCAUGAAGAAUAAACCAAGAGAAGGAAGAGAAAAAGAACAGAGAAAAACAAAUAGAAAUAAAGCAAAAGAAAACUACCUAUGUUUAAUCUGGAUCCAACAAAGAACAUCUGACCACUUUCUUCAACAAAACGAAAUGAACCUUGACUAACAUUAAUCGAAUGUCUUUAACAAGGAACAAUCGACUAAUGAAAGUUUGUGAUUCACUUCUUAAAGCACCAACUGAAAACCAAAAGGUUAGGGUUCAGAGGAUACUAUAUUUAAAAUUCGAAGAAAAGGGCGAGGUUUUUUGGGAAGUUAAUUGUAGUUUAGGGUUCAACAGGGUGUGAGGAGUGUGGGGUGUGAUUUUGGGAUGAUUUGGAUGAACUAGGGUUUUGGGGUCCGAUUCUUAGAUCUAAAACCGGAGGACUUGGGUGGGAAUUUUGGGGAAACGGCUUGUGGAUUUGGAAAGAGGAAGGGACCGGAGUUACGGGGUGUUAAUUCGAGGGUGUUUGGAGCACCAGAAUCGCCGUGAGGCGAUUUUUGGUGGCGGUUGGCGGCGAAGACGGCGGGGAUUUUGGGGCGACUGUCUCUAGGGUUUGAUUAGGGCAGAUGAGGGUGAGGGUUAGGG